rnacentral:rRNA from 1 species
CGGGACACGUGGUAUCCUGUCUGAAUAUGGGGGGACCAUCCUCCAAGGCUAAAUACUCCUGACUGACCGAUAGUGAACCAGUACCGUGAGGGAAAGGCGAAAAGAACCCCGGCGAGGGGAGUGAAAAAGAACCUGAAACCGUGUACGUACAAGCAGUGGGAGCACGCUUAGGCGUGUGACUGCGUACCUUUUGUAUAAUGGGUCAGCGACUUAUAUUCUGUAGCAAGGUUAACCGAAUAGGGGAGCCGAAGGGAAACCGAGUCUUAACUGGGCGUUAAGUUGCAGGGUAUAGACCCGAAACCCGGUGAUCUAGCCAUGGGCAGGUUGAAGGUUGGGUAACACUAACUGGAGGACCGAACCGACUAAUGUUGAAAAAUUAGCGGAUGACUUGUGGCUGGGGGUGAAAGGCCAAUCAAACCGGGAGAUAGCUGGUUCUCCCCGAAAGCUAUUUAGGUAGCGCCUCGUGAAUUCAUCUCCGGGGGUAGAGCACUGUUUCGGCAAGGGGGUCAUCCCGACUUACCAACCCGAUGCAAACUGCGAAUACCGGAGAAUGUUAUCACGGGAGACACACGGCGGGUGCUAACGUCCGUCGUGAAGAGGGAAACAACCCAGACCGCCAGCUAAGGUCCCAAAGUCAUGGUUAAGUGGGAAACGAUGUGGGAAGGCCCAGACAGCCAGGAUGUUGGCUUAGAAGCAGCCAUCAUUUAAAGAAAGCGUAAUAGCUCACUGGUCGAGUCGGCCUGCGCGGAAGAUGUAACGGGGCUAAACCAUGCACCGAAGCUGCGGCAGCGACGCUUAUGCGUUGUUGGGUAGGGGAGCGUUCUGUAAGCCUGUGAAGGUGUGCUGUGAGGCAUGCUGGAGGUAUCAGAAGUGCGAAUGCUGACAUAAGUAACGAUAAAGCGGGUGAAAAGCCCGCUCGCCGGAAGACCAAGGGUUCCUGUCCAACGUUAAUCGGGGCAGGGUGAGUCGACCCCUAAGGCGAGGCCGAAAGGCGUAGUCGAUGGGAAACAGGUUAAUAUUCCUGUACUUGGUGUUACUGCGAAGGGGGGACGGAGAAGGCUAUGUUGGCCGGGCGACGGUUGUCCCGGUUUAAGCGUGUAGGCUGGUUUUCCAGGCAAAUCCGGAAAAUCAAGGCUGAGGCGUGAUGACGAGGCACUACGGUGCUGAAGCAACAAAUGCCCUGCUUCCAGGAAAAGCCUCUAAGCAUCAGGUAACAUCAAAUCGUACCCCAAACCGACACAGGUGGUCAGGUAGAGA